rnacentral:rRNA from 1 species
GUCGGCGGCCGUAUUACGUUAAAAGCACCGGUUCUCGUCCGAUCACCGUAGUUAAGCAACGUUAGGUCCGGUUAGUACUUGCAUCUGUGACCAGCUUGGAAUACCGGGUGUUCCCGGCU